AUUGAACGCUGGCGGCAUGCCUUACACAUGCAAGUCGAACGGCAGCACGGGAGCAAUCCUGGUGGCGAGUGGCGAACGGGUGAGUAAUAUAUCGGAACGUGCCCAAUCGUGGGGGAUAACGUAGCGAAAGCUACGCUAAUACCGCAUACGAUCUAUGGAUGAAAGCGGGGGAUCGCAAGACCUCGCGCGAUUGGAGCGGCCGAUACCAGAUUAGGUAGUUGGUGGGGGUAAAAAGCCUACCAAGCCUUCGAUCUGUAGCUGGUCUGAGAGGACGACCAGCCACACUGGAACUGAGACACGGUCCAGACUCCUACGGGAGGCAGCAGUGGGGAAUUUUGGACAAUGGGCGCAAGCCUGAUCCAGCAAUGCCGCGUGCAGGAUGAAGGCCUUCGGGUUGUAAAC
rnacentral:rRNA from 1 species